rnacentral:rRNA from 1 species
AAACAGGAUUAGAUACCCUGGUAGUCCACGCCGUAAACGAUGUCGAUUUGGAGGUUGUGCCCUUGAGGCGUGGCUUCCGGAGCUAACGCGUUAAAUCGACCGCCUGGGGAGUACGGCCGCAAGGUUAAAACUCAAAUGAAUUGACGGGGGCCCGCACAAGCGGUGGAGCAUGUGGUUUAAUUCGAUGCAACGCGAAGAACCUUACCUGGUCUUGACAUCCACAGAACUUAGCAGAGAUGCUUUGGUGCCUUCGGGAACUGUGAGACAGGUGCUGCAUGGCUGUCGUCAGCUCGUGUUGUGAAAUGUUGGGUUAAGUCCCGCAACGAGCGCAACCCUUAUCCUUUGUUGCCAGCGGUCCGGCCGGGAACUCAAAGGAGACUGCCAGUGAUAAACNUGGAGGAAGGUGGGGAUGACGUCAAGUCAUCAUGGCCCUUACGACCAGGGCUACACACGUGCUACAAUGGCAUAUACAAAGAGAAGCGACCUCGCGAGAGCAAGCGGACCUCAUAAAGUAUGUCGUAGUCCGGAUUGGAGUCUGCAACUCGACUCCAUGAAGUCGGAAUCGCUAGUAAUCGUAGAUCAGAAUGCUACGG